rnacentral:antisense_RNA from 1 species
GGAUAAUGCAAGUGUUUAACAGAUGCUUCACUAUUAAAAUAUUUCCCCCCCAAGUCUCAAAUAUUGAAGAAUCUCUAACCAGGUACAGUAUCACUCUGCUCUCUUUUCUGGUUGAAAAGAAAGAAAGAAAACGCAGGUAUUGCUUUUCGAAGUGCUUUGUAGGUAAUCGAGGGACACCAGUCCCUACGAAGACCUUGGGCGAUUUUGAAGUGCGGGCACCUCGAUUCCCCGAAUCUGUAGUGUGGCUGGUAUCGGUGUUCCCCUGGUUUAACUAGCCUGUUUGAAGGCACAGAUCAUUCAUGGGGAAGUAUAACCGAAACCAGUCCUCUCCACCCCCUGGGGAUCUUCACUUUCCCAGUCUACAACUGCCUGUGACUCCAGAAAGACAAACUGCAGAUUGGCCAAGAUGGAUUAAGCUGGAAUAAUAAAGUAUAUCUAUGAGAUGAUUUCUGUAAACUCUGACUUGCUGAGAAAAAAGUGAAAAAGCUUUUUCUGGAAGAAACAUGGCAACUUAACCAUUAUUAAUCUGGACUAAACAAAACAGGAAACUGCUUCUUUA